AAGAGUCCACAUGCAGGCGGGGUAAAACCUGUCUGCCUGCACACUCCACCCUUUGUUUACAUUACCUUUGUUGCUUUGGCAGGCCCGUCCUCGGACCACCGGCUCCGGCUGGUCAGCGCCUGCCAGAGGACCUAAAACUCUUGUUAAUAAUAUUGUCUGAGUACUAUAUAAUAGUUA
rnacentral:misc_RNA from 1 species